rnacentral:lncRNA from 1 species
UUUCAUUUUAUCAUUAUCUAUUAGAAUAUCAUUCUGUUAUAACUAAUGUUUAUCAAAUACAGAAUGAUGCAUGAAAUGUCCUAUAUUGUUUUGCAAUGUAUCCAUGUACUGCACACUGUUAAUUGUGUCGUUAAAAAGAAUGACCUAAUGAUUCUAUGGCUGGAAAUCACAGUCCCACAAUUAUCAAACACAUGCAAUAUCAGAAGCUUCUCUCUUCCAUAUUCUGUACACAGAACUGUUCAGAUAAAUGUACACCUCAUCAGAGAAUCAUGUGUUAUGCAACAUAACCCAAGUAGCAAACUGUACCUGCCAUUCUUUGUCAUUCACUCUUAGUUUCUGAAGCACUGUAAUUUUAUAUAGGAACAAAUGCAGAUCUGAAUGAAAUAGUUUCUGAAGAGAAUGAUAUGAGAUACCCAACUCAACAAUGCAUUGGAGAGAAAUUGACCCUGUACCACUACAGUCCAUACAUUAGAGAAUAUUGAGGCUGUGAGAAUGGUUUUGCUUUGAAGUUCUACUAAAUCCAUCAGAACUGCUUCUGCUAUCAAUUUCAAAUUUUGUAGCCAGUUUAUACUCUCUGUCUGCAGAGAGCUGACUGCAUACCAAAAUAAACACAAAAAUAUUCCUGAGUUUGGGUUACACUCUUUGUUUCUGUAUAAAACAAUAUCAUUUUCACCUUCUGUUUCAGUGUCAAUCACACCCUGUCUGCCAUGUUUCAUAAGCUGAAGCAGGUGGUGUUGCUCAUAUAUGGGAUUGACAAGUUCUGUCAUCUAUCAAAUCAUGUAUGAACUAAGAUUACUCAUCACAAAAUUUGAAAGUUCUGAACCCAAAAUUAAACAUUUUAUUAGAUUAUUUUCAGUGUAUGACAUUUUGUAGAUCACCCUGAAGAAUUAAAAUUACUUUAUUUUCAUAUAUAUCUUUAAAAUGCUGUUUUAAAUAUUUACAAUAUGUUUCUAAUUAAAACCAAG